rnacentral:lncRNA from 1 species
CCUCUGUCUUUCACUCUGGGAGACGUUUGAGACCCAGCGUCUCUAGAUCUCGUAUUUGAAUUUGUGGCGCUUGGUGUCCGCGAGUUGCCGAAUGAAGCUGAGCGUCUCAGUGGAACCAGGGAUCUCAGGGAGGGGAAGGUAUAAAAUUUUCAAAUGGAGGAGUAUACCUGAACCUAAUCAUGGAUGUGAUUUUAUGUAAGUAAUAUGUGAGAUACAGAUAAGCUGAUUCUAAAACUUACAAGAAUGGCAAAGAAACAAGAAGAGCUUAAACUGCAAUCAUCAACAGAGAAGCUUUCUGCAACCAAAGUGAAGACUGAAGCCUUAGGCUAUGGCAGAAGUUGGGCGCCUGAAGUACACGUGGAAAUAUGCCAACUGAACAUUGGACUACCACCGCCUGCCCCUGGCUCAGCGCCCGGUGCCAACAGAACACCUUUCAGGAUCCACAGCAACGCAGACAACGGAACUCACAAGGGCUUCGGUUCUCAAGAGGCCAUCAAAACAUAACUGCUGCCGAGACAAUACCUUUCCUUCCCCUCACUACAUUCACUGAAUGUUCUGGAUCAGUGCGUCUCACACCUUUGGAUCUUAUAAGCUACUUGGAAAAAUUUUAAAGCACCUGAUGGAUUUGGAAAAUAUUUAAUGAAGACAAUGAUGCUGACAUCUCAAGUUAAAAGGUUCUACAGAGAAGGCAAAGAUUUUGAAGGCACAGGAGACUAUCAUAGAUAUUCACAACGGCAUCUCCCUAAAGGAUUUGAAAGCUUUGCAUCAACCAAAGGAAAAGCACCAGUGAGAGUCAAGAUACAGUUCCAGACAGGUGCUACUUCUUAUUCAAAAGGUAUCAAGGUCUUGUUCUUAUAUGUUCAGAUCAGUGCUGGAAAUGAUGAAGACAGAGAGACUGGAAGGAAGAACACAACAGUUGAGUGAGUAUUAAGUAUUCUCAGUUAGAUCAGGGGUCCCCAACCCUCAGGCCAAGGACAGGUACUGGUCUGUGGCCUGUUAGGAACUGGGCCGCACAGCAGGAGGCGAGCAGCAGGCGAGUGAGCAUUACCACCUGAGCUCCACAUCCUGUCAGAUCAGCAGCAACAUUAGAUUCUCACAGGAGCACGAACUCUAUUGCAAACUUUGCAUACAAGGGAUCUAGAUUGUGCAGUCCUUAUGAGAAUCUAAUGCCUGAUGAUCUAAGGUAGAAGUUUCAUCCCAAAAUCACAUUCCCCCCAACCCCUGGCAUCCGUGGAAAAAUUGUCUUCCACAAACCUGGUCCCUGGUGCCAAAAAGGUUAGGUACUGCUGAGUUAGAUCAUAACAUUUAAUCCUGAUAAUAACUCUGUGAGGCAAGGUUUGUUCGGCCCAAUAAACAGCAGAAAUAUGGGUCAAAUCUAGGUUCACAGUUGAUGCUCAUUCUACCAUACAUACUGCCUCUUGUAACAGGUAUCCUAACAAGUACCUUCCUGGAGAGUUUUGUUGCC